rnacentral:rRNA from 1 species
AGUGAACGCUGGCGGUAGGCCUAACACAUGCAAGUCGAACGGCAGCACAGUAAGAGCUUGCUCUUACGGGUGGCGAGUGGCGGACGGGUGAGGAAUACAUCGGAAUCUACUUUUUCGUGGGGGAUAACGUAGGGAAACUUACGCUAAUACCGCAUACGACCUACGGGUUAAAGCAGGGGAUCUUCGGACCUUGCGCGAUUGAAUGAGCCGAUGUCGGAUUAGCUAGUUGGCGGGGUAAAGGCCCACCAAGGCGACGAUCCGUAGCUGGUCUGAGAGGAUGAUCAGCCACACUAGAACUGAGACACGGUACAGACUCCUACGGGAGGCAGCAGUGGGGAAUAUUGGACAAUGGGCGCAAGCCUGAUCCAGCCAUACCGCGUGGGUGAAGAAGGCCUUCGGGUUGUAAAGCCCUUUUGUUGGGAAAGAAAAGCAGCAGGUUAAUACCCCGCUGUUCUGACGGUACCCAAAGAAUAAGCACCGGCUAACUUCGUG